UGUGGGCCAACUGAAAACAAACCAACCCCUUCUGUUUAGAGCUGGAAGACAUCUCCAUCAUCUGCUCAAACGGAUAAUCCACUACACAUGCUCUCCUAGAGAUGUUUAUUAAUCUCAGAAAUAACAGGACCAUGGAACAGUAAGACAGAUAGCAAGGGGGUCAUCUUAUCAUUGAGCAAGAAUACAGAUAUAUACAACAGCUCCUCAGUAAAUCCAGUGUAUUAAUCAGGAAUCGUCUCAAGAAUCACGUUCAGAAACAUCUCAGAGACCUGUGCUUUCUCCUUCAAUGUACCCAGUGCACCAAGAUCACACCUACCUCUGCCAUGGAUUCAGCCUUGUAUCUGCCCCUAUCCUAGCAGCUUUAACAUCCCACUGCAGAUCUUCAAAUAAGCAACCCGGUUUGCUAACAAGGGAGCCAUCAGCAUGACAUCAGCAGGAGGAACAGAGACAAAUUCAACGGGAACACUGCACCAAGGGCAGAGUGGAAGCUGUACUUACCUCACAGAGACUUCCAGGCUCUCAGACAGAUUAAAUUGGAAUAGAACGAGCGCACGUAUUCCUCUAUUUAUUUACUUGGCAGAAGGUGCCUUAUUUUAUAUAGA
rnacentral:sRNA from 1 species